rnacentral:rRNA from 1 species
UGGGGAAUCUUGCACAAUGGGCGAAAGCCUGAUGCAGCGACGCCGCGUGCGGGAUGAAGGCCUUCGGGUUGUAAACCGCUUUCAGCAGGGACGAGGCCGCAAGGUGACGGUACCUGCAGAAGAAGCCCCGGCUAACUACGUGCCAGCAGCCGCGGUAAUACGUAGGGGGCAAGCGUUAUCCGGAUUCAUUGGGCGUAAAGCGCGCGUAGGCGGUUUGUUAGGUCAGGAGUUAAAUCUGGGGGCUCAACCCCUAUCCGCUCCUGAUACCGGCAGGCUUGAGUCUGGUAGGGGAAGGCGGAAUUCCAAGUGUAGCGGUGAAAUGCGCAGAUAUUUGGAAGAACACCGGUGGCGAAAGCGGCUUUUUGGCCUGCAACUGACACUGAGGCUCGAAAGCGUGGGGAGCGAACAGG